GAAUUUGAUGUUUUUAGGAUCUCGCAACACAUUUAUGAGUCCCUCACUUCAAAAGCUUGCCAAAGCACAAACCUAGAUCUGCUUCUAUCAAAGUUGCAGGCAACUUUGAGGGAUAAAAGGUUCUCCUUUGUUCUUGAUGACAUCUGGAACAAGAAUUAUAACCAGUUGGAAUUCUUAAUGCAUCCCCUUGAGUCUGGAGCACAUGGAAGCAAGAUCAUUGUCACAACACGUGAUGAAAAUGUUGCACAUAUGAUGGGUAGCCUUGAAGCUCACCAUCUCAUGCCAAUGUCUGAGGAAGAUAGCUGGUUGUUAUUCAAAAAACAUGCCUUCAAAAAUGCAGGUGUUGGUACACACUCACAUCUUGAAAAAAGCGGUAGACAAAUUGUUCAAAAGUGCAAUGGUCUUCCUUUGGCUAUUAAGUGCCUUGGGGAUCUCUUAUGUUCUAAAUUGUUAGUGGAGGAAUGGGAAAGUAUAUUGAACAGUGGCAUGUGGGAGUUCUCACCGGAUGAGUGACAUUCUGCCAUCUCUAUGGUUGAGCUAUCUAGAUCUGCCUCUACAUCUCAAGCGUUGUUUUGCCUAUUGUUUCACUAUAUCCCAAGAACUAUGAAUUUCAAAAAUCAGAGUUGGUUUACUUGGGGAAGGCUGAAGAUCUAUUGCAGCAUAAAAAAAAACAAAAUGGCAGAAGAAGUCGGACAAGACUACUUCAAUGAUCUAAUCUCAAGAUAAUUUUUUCAACUUUCAUCAAGUUCUAAUAGAUAUUUCAUCAUGCAUGACCUUAUCAAUGAUUUAGCAAGCUUUGUAUCUGGAGAAUUUUGUUUUAGGUGGGAGGGCACUAAUUCACCCAACAGUUUGAGCAAGACUCGUCAUUUUUCAGAUAUGCCAGAAUAUCAUUAUCAUGAUGAAGCUGAGAGAUGUUUGAGGCUUUACAGCAAGCUAAAUGUUUGCGCACCUUUCUACUAUUAGAACCACGUUGUUUGUUGAACUUGAACAAAGGACGAUGUGAUAUAUUGCCAAAAUCACAAUGUUUAAGAGUGCUCAAGGAAUUGCCUGAUACAAUUAACGACUUGAGACAUCUUAGGCACUUGGACUUGUCUUGGACUCCCAUCAAAAAGUUACCUGAUACAAUUUGUACUUUGUAUAACUUGCAAGUAUUGCUGUUGUCAAACUGUCGAGGCCUUACUGAACUGCCAGCCAACUUGGGAAGAUUGAUCAACGCCAUAUGAAGGAGAAACAGACCAUUUCCAUUUCAUACGCAGUUUCGUGGAAAGUGAGCAAAAUUUCUUGAUAUGUUAAGACAGAGAUAGGCCAAGGUUUAGAUUGCUCGCAGGACCAAUAUUGCCAUGUCUUGAUGCCUGAGUUCUUCUCUUCUCUUCUUAUCUGAACUUGCAGACUGUUAUUUAUCUCCUCCACUCAUUCACACAAACACAAGAAUAUAUUUAGAGUUUCCAAGCAGAAUGAAAAUCACAGAGAGAUGAGAGCCAAUUUCGGGUCAGUGCGAUAUCAGCUCCCUGGAUUUUACAAGUUCACAACUAUAUGCAGUGCUGCCGCUAAAGCAUCUCAGAAUACUUGUAACUGUUGGAAUCUCAUAAAUUUGAAGUCAUUUUGUAUAUCACCCAGAAUUGAAGAAUGACCUUAAAGGUUGUGGCACUUCAAUAUUAUCUCAGGAGCAAUAAUUUUGUGAGCCGAAUCUUGGUUCUGUGUAUGGGAAAAAGAUACAUGAGGAUCACCAGUUUUGCAUCCUCACUGAACAGAACUCGGUCUCCAUCCUGUAUCUGUAAGAUCCUUUCCAGUUUCUAAGUUAAUCGAGUGUUACACAGCUUAGAGGUUGUGGCCCUUCUCAUUCUUUCAUGGACACUUAAUCAAUUAGCAAACACCUACUCAUUGUAAGUAAAUAACCCGAGGACCAGAGAUUUUUGCACCUUCAUUGACAAGAAUAUGAUCCUUUCCCUUCCAUGCAUAAUAGUAAAUUGAUCAGUUUUGUUAACAACAUGCCGCUAGAGUACUGGUGAGGCACUCCUUAGCCUUAGGCCAGGGAUUCAUGCUUUGGGACAGCUGGCUAGCUAAUGUAUCUAUUUGUUAUCUAUACUUUACAUGCAGCAUCCCAUUAAGCAAAAUUUUCAUCUUGGUAACUGGCCAUGAGUAGUUUACUCCUUGGUGGGAUAUUUCUAUGCCUUGAAGGAGAAACAUCUGUUGAAGCCUUCGAUUUUUGAGGGCUUGGAAUGAAUUUAGUCCUUUUGUCAGUUGACUUUAACUUGCAUGAAUGUGAAGAAGUAGAUUCCUUUCUGGAGGAGCAAAUGUUGCCCAUCUCUCUCACCACUCUCAAUAUCUACUGAAUGAAUCUCAAGACCAUGGACGGCACCAAGUGGUCUGCAGCUUUGCGCAUCUCAACUCUCUCCAAACCUUGAAGGUUUCGUUUUGCUUUGAGCUCCAGUGCUUGCCAGAUAUUGUUAUACGCAGCAGUGCUUGCCGGCCAGAUAGUUGGCGACUCACUUCUGUUUUUUAUCUUCAAAUCAAUGGACGUUCUUUGCAAGGGAAGACUGAUUGCAUCCCCCACUUAAUGAUGACAACAGUGCUCAUGAAUGAUGAACAAAUUUGAAUGAUGAGUAACAAACAAUCAUUGGUAGUUGAUGGGAGAAUGUAUAUGAUUCUCUAAUCACAUUGUAAUGCGCAGUUGAUCCUUAGGCCCUGAAAUAAACCUGAAAAACUGGCUAAUGCAUUCUGGCUGAAAAAUGGUGCCAAAUAGAGCAAGGGGAAGAUUGUCCAAAGAUUUCUGGCACUGUGACAUUUAUCUGUAUGGAAAAGAUAUGAUGCGGUU